CUGCCUGUAGUGUUAGUGUAGUGUAAUGUUAGCUUAUUAAGCUACACUACCUUCACACUACUGUUAGC